UAUCCUUGACAUGGAAAAAGAUGAGUUGGCUCCUGAGAUAGAAGAGGAAGAAGAAGGCAAGAUAGAGUAUGUUGAAGGUGAUGAUAUCGAGAUGGGUGACAUGGAUGAUAUGGAAGAUUUUGAAGGCUUUGGUGAUGAAGAUGGUGGAAGAAGACGAGGACAGGGGUAGCAGGCAAAGGACACGAAUGUGAUUCUCCAGGCACGGCUUCAGUAACAUGCUUGGUGUCGAUGAUGUUGUACUUUAGAUAA